rnacentral:lncRNA from 1 species
UCAGAAAUAUAAUUGUAUCUCAAGCGAUCCCAGCUCCAUCAUGCCUCAUCUGUGUUUCACCAAGCAGCAGCAACAGCAGUGGGUUCGAAGAGCUCCAGAAGUGCAAAUUUAGCAUUUCGCAGAUGUUCCAAUAAAGCCAAACUGGCUAGUGGCAUUUUUCACUUGAAUGAUUCUGCUUCGUGCAACAUCAGGAUAAGCACGCGGAGGCUUCUUUGCAUUAGAAAGUAAACAUACGUAUGCACAAUUGCACACCACACAGUGGUUCGUGCGGGUGGAGGAGAUUGUGCUUUUAAGGAAUAAUCUCUCCUCUUCAGAAAACUAACCGCUUUAUAUGUUUAUCGGGCAGAUUUUCUUUGGUGGUGUUUUAAUGGCUUGUUUGUCAGACAUGUUGCAUAUUAAACAAGCAAAGCCUG